rnacentral:tRNA from 1 species
UCCCAAGUGGCUCAGACAGUAGAGCAUCUGUCUGAAAUGCAGGAGACCUGGGUUCUAUCCCUGGGUUGGGGA